rnacentral:rRNA from 1 species
AGCAGCCGCGGUAAUUCCAGCUCCAAUAGCGUAUAUUAAAGUUGCUGCAGUUAAAAAGCUCGUAGCUGAAUUUCGGGACCAUCAUGUCGGUCGUGCCUCGGUACGUACUGGCAUUGUUGGUUUCUCCCUUCUGACGAACCAUGAUGUCAUUUAUUUGGUGUCGUGGGAAAUCAGGACUGUUACUUUGAAAAAAUUAGAGUGUUUAAAGCAGGCUCACGCUUGAAUACAUUAGCAUGGAAUAAUGAAAUAGGACGUUUGAUUCUAUUUUGUUGGUUUCUAGGAUCGACGUAAUGAUUAAUAGGGAUAGUUGGGGGCAUUAGUAUUCAAUUGUCAGAGGUGAAAAUUCUUGGAUUUAUUGAAGACUAACUACUGCGAAAGCAUUUGCCAAGGAUGUUUUCAUUAAUCAAGAACGAAAGUUAGGGGGAUCGAAGACGAUCAGAUACCGUCGUA